rnacentral:lncRNA from 1 species
UGUUUAACACUGGCUUUGUUGGGCUAGUUGGUAUGGUGCCCUGGGUAAAGGGCAGGAUGACAAAACUAAACUCGGAGGGGCAGAGGGAACACAGGAUGAGCACUGUCCUGUGCUUUCUUCGAAUACAAUCGCAUUCAGAAACAAUGUCUUAGAUGGGACUAGCCCAUCCUGCGUGGUGCAGGUAGUAUGGCUAACAGUUCUGUGCACAGGGCUCAAUAGGGAAAUGUUCAAUCAAGUGCUCUAGAGUGCAAAUGCUAUCCUUUGUGCAAUAACUUCGCAGAAUGUUGCCACAAAUGUCACAUUGCUGCACCAGAUUAAGGAAAAUGUUUUCCCAGCUAUCCAGCAUGCAAUUUGCAUUAUCAUGACAUUAAACCAUUUCAGAAUACCAGCGUUUUACAGGUCUGAAGGGGAAAGAAAAAAGCAUUUAUGACAAAACUGAGAAAGAAAAAAAAGCCUCAAAACAGGACAAAAAAAACGAACAGUGCAGAGUACCACAUUCUCUUUUUCUUACAUAGCAUAAACUUAGUUAAGUUGAAACUACCAGAACCAAAAAGAAAAUAUGCACUAUAAGCUUCCAAACAAGCAGACCCAACGUUUGCACACAUCAGUGAAAAUGUAUGGGUCUGACAAGUGAAUCUUAGAGG